UACGGAGGGUGCAAGCGUUAUCCGGAUUUACUGGGUUUAAAGGGUGCGUAGGCGGACUUUUAAGUCAGUGGUGAAAUCCCCGAGCUUAACUCGGAAACUGCCAUUGAUACUAUUAGUCUUGAAUUCGGUCGAGGUUGGCGGAAUGUGUCGUGUAGCGGUGAAAUGCUUAGAUAUGACACAGAACACCGAUUGCGAAGGCAGCUAGCUAGACCGAACAUUGACGCUGAGGCACGGAAAGCG
rnacentral:rRNA from 1 species